rnacentral:misc_RNA from 1 species
AUUUCCUAGCAUGGCAGCUUUAAUAUGUUUAACUCAUCAAUUUUCCAGAAAGUUAUUGCUGGAAUCUGAAGCCUAAUCCCCAAGAUUUAUUUCUCAUUCUCUACAGUUCCUUGAUUGAGCUCCUCAAGAAUUAAUAUAGUUCUUUAGUUUAUUCUUUUCAGCACAUUAGAAUUUCAGCGGUUUCUCCAGAACCUAAUUUCUUUUUAUUAAAGCAUGAGUAUUAAUUGUUUAAAUAAAUUGUAACAUCAAUAUAGGAUCUGAUUUUUCCACCAAAGAUAUAGUUCCAUUAGUUUAACACUGAACAUGCGCCAGCAAAUGCAUGGAGACAAAUGCAGAAAAGAAAAUAUCAAUAAGAAGCAAUUGAUUGAAUACAUAAUCGAUACCAUGACAUCAA